AUCCUCCCAGCCAGAGCCCAGACCCCAAAAUCUCAGCCCUGCUUCCCCCGACGAGCACUGCCCCAUUCCCCAGGCAGCUCCAGCACACAGGCCUGUCCCAGCACCUCCUGUUAUGCGUCCACCCCUGUCUCCAGUCAGCCUGAUCACGUGGCACAGCCCAGCUCCAGCCCUCCUCUCUUCCUGGGCCCCAGCUCGUGGACUGCGGAGAUCAGCCCAAGGGAGAGGCCUGGGCCACAUCCCGCCCCCCGACCCAGGCACUUCCAGGACCCACACAGAAGCACAGUCGCAUGUUUGCCUAGUCCUGGACUAUCUAGCCCCUUUCUGCCCCAAAGACACGGGGGUCAAGGCCCAGAGGCUCCCAGGCCGGGAGGGAAGGAGCAGGCGGAGUCGGCAGUCAGGACUCAGGUGCCGCGUGGAGGACCCACCGCCCCAUCUUCCCAUGCCCUAUACCUCUUUAGGCCAGAUCCUCAAAGAAGUAUAUGCAUAGGAAGAAGGAACGGCGGGCAGCUCUGUGGGGCUGGCUCCUCAGCACCGGGGUGGCUGUCCUCAGGCAGGGUCCCGUGCCAGGCGGGAGGGAGAAGUCCGAGGCCUGGUGGGCGGUGGGCGCCGAGGUCCUGUGGGAGAGAGGAGGGCACAGCCAAGCCCGGGCCGGGUCCCCGGAGGCACCUUGGGCCCCAGCUUACCUUCAGUCCAGCCUCCUGGGCGGCCAGCGCUGGGUGGGCCAUGAGCGCCGCUGAGCCUGGGUGGGUGGCAGAGAACUCUCCCGGCCAGAGUUCUGCUGCUGCCUCGCGAGCUCCACAUUUAUGCACAAGAGAGACCUUGGCUGCCGCCGUCACAUGCUGCCAGAAUGCUGCUCUGUGCCAAGGACCCCGUCCCACCCCCACACCUGCCAGAGCAGGGCACAAAGACCUGCUGUGGAAGAGUGCUGACCCAGGGCCCGGCGGGUGGGCAGGCGGGGGCUGCGGGCCGGGGGCUGGGACGGGAGCUGGGAUGGGGCUGGAACGGGGGCUGGGACAGGGCCAGCCU
rnacentral:lncRNA from 13 species